rnacentral:miRNA from 1 species
ACUUAAUAUGGGACGGAAGAA